ACCUGGGGUUACGUUUGUUUUCUUCUAAAAGAGAAGAAAAGUAAUCAGAUCUAGCAGUUUUUAAUGCUUUUCUGUAGGAUAUGUUACUUUCCCGCCAAGCAAUACAAAAUACCUCUAGUUUUGUUUUCCUCCAGCUGCGCUCCAUUUUUCGAGCUGCUCUCUUUAGGGUGCGAGUAUGCUCAUUAUACCAUGGUGUCAAACUGUUUUCCUUAACCUUCCUUAAGCGUAAAAGAGCAACUGUAUUUAAAGUGCUAGAAAAGAGAGAGUCCAUAGUUUCUGUUACAUCAUCAAGUUGUUCUGAGGUUUUGGAUAUGCUAAUGAAUUUGGAUACAUCAGGAAGAUAACUUAAAAAGCAGUCUUUUGUGGUAGAAGUGAUGGUUCUUCCAUACUUGUAACAAGAAGUAGAAUUUACAAUUUUGGCUAUAUGAAGUUUGCACAGAACUAAAUAAUGAUCUGAGAUAUCAUCACUUGGCUGAAUAAUUUCAACACUAUCAACAUCAAUUCCAUGUGACAGUAUUAAAUCUAGAGUAUGAUUUCGACAAUGAGUAGGUCCUGAAACGUGUUGUCUAACCCCAAUAGAGUUCAGAAUGUCUAUAAAUGCUGAUCCCAAUGCAUCUUUUUCAUUAUCGACAUGGAUAUUAAAAUCACCAACUAUUAAAACUUUAUCUGCAGCCAGAACUAACUCGGAUGUAAAAUCACCAAACUCUUUAAUAAAGUCUGUUUGGUGCCCUGGUGGCCUGUAUACAGUAGCCAGUACAAACAUAACAGGGGAUUUAUCAUUAACACAUUUUUUUUCUCUGGAUAAUGUUAAAUGUAGCACCAUUACUUCAAACGAGUUAUACUUGAAGCCUGCCCUCUGAGAAGUCCUGAAAACGUUGUUAUAAAUUGAAGCAACUCCUCCCCCUUUGCCUUUUAGACGUGGCUCGUGCUUAUAACAGUAAUCUUGGGGGGUGGAUUCAUUUAAAGGGGGGGUGAAAUGCUCGUUUUCACUCAAUAUCCUGUUAAUCUUGAGUACCUGUAGAGUAGUACUGCAUCUUUCAUAACUCCAAAAAGUCUUUAGUUUUAUUAUAUUCAUAAGAGAAAGGUAGUCUGUACCGAUUUUUCCCGGAAAAAUACGACCGGCUGGAGGCGUGACGUGUGGGCGGAGCUAAAGAAUCACGAGCGCCAGUAGGCUUUUGCGUUGAGAGCGUUUGGAAGCUGUGACAUUACCGUGAGGAAAAACACAUCCAAAACAAACCAUGGCUAACAGUCCGAUUCAGCAUAUAUUUAUGAUCCAGAAUCAGAUCCAGAGGCUGAAAUUUAACAAGAGCAGCAUCAGCAAUGACGUCUCUAUGUGGUAUGUACUGAAACUGUAUAUAUUUGCUUAGCGGUUUUGGAAAUUGGCUAAGUUUCACUUUGUCGUCUUUUUUUUUUUUUUUUUUUUUUUUUUAAACUGCACAUGUGGAAAGUGCAAUUUGAUGACAACAUCGUAUGUUGUUUACUUGAUGUGCUUAUGCGCCGAUAGCUAAGUAAACAACACAGAGAUAUUUGAAGCAGUUUUACUCGUGCAGUUUGAUGACAAAAUCGCAUGUUGUUUACUUGAUCUGCUUACACGCCUAUAGCUAAGUUAACAACACAGAGAUAUUUGAAGCAGUUUUAUUCACCGCUUGUGGUUCCAACACACGAUCGUGACCCUUUUUCGUUGGGACUGCAUUAUCCUUAAGAAAUAAACGAUGUGCAAAUCCGGCGUCAAACUGGGCCUUGUUUGUAAAACAAGCAUCUUCGAAAUGCAGGGAACAAACACAAACACUUGCACAACUCCGCUGAUGCUCUGUAAAAAUAAACUCCAUCCACUGGUCCCUUAAUGCUGUUUUUUUUUUUGGUAAUCUGUGCAGGGUUGUCUUGCCCUGCUCUUCCGGCAGAAGUGCCCUUAGGACCCAUAUAAGGAAAUUCCGCUCCAUCUAACGUCACACAGAGCCAUACUCGAAAAAAAACUUUCCGCAACUUGCGACAAACCAGAAGGAGUAUUUUUGGAACAGAAAUACUCCUUCAAACGUACAACUUAAUUUUUGAAACUUUGUCCAUGUUUUGCAUGGGAAUCCAACUCUUUAACAGUGUAAAAAACUCAGUAUGCAUGAAUAGCAUUUACCCCCCCCCCCCCCCUUAAAAUAAUGUAAUCAUCAGGUUUUAGCCAAGUUUCUGUCAAACAGAGCACAUCUAUAUUAUGAUCAGUUGUCAUAUUAUUUACAAAAAGUGUUUUCGUAGAAAUGGAUCUGAUAUUCAAUAAGCCAAGCUUUAUCAUUUGUUUAUCCAUAUUGCAUUUGUUUUUUACUUGUUGAACCUCAAUUAAAUUGUUAACCUUAAAGGAAGACUCCACCGUUUUUUGAAAUCGGGCUUAUUCACAUUAUUUCCUAGAUUUAGAUAGGUGGGCAAAUGCAUUUUUGUGUCAGUGCAUGCAUUGUUUUAGUUUGACUGGGUCGGCGUUAGCUUAGCUUAGCACAAUGAAUGGAAUCCUUUGUUGCCAGCUAGCAUGGCCUGAGUAAAAGUGAUCAAAAAAUUGUAAAAAACCCACCUAAUUACUUCUUGUGGCCUGCAUAUUCACAACGAGUACAAAAAGCAAUCCAGAUUAACACUAGGCGAUUUCCUAGGCAGAUAUUGACUUGGGACUAUAUUCUGGGGAAGCACAGGCGAAGCACUGCUGCUUAGGCGAAGCACUGCUACUUCGGCGCAGAGAUAUCACGCAACACAUGAAAUCCCACGACUUCCGUCAACAUACCGGCGUGAAUAGUAGCUGCCUGGCUAUUUUCCUUACAGUACACGAAUGGCGAUGAACAUGGCUGAUUUUGAGAGAGGCGAAGAGGGUGACUUCUCAGACAGUCAAGAACCAGAACCAUACCUAUUUGAACCAGAGUUUACAGAAGACGAGCUGCGUGCUUUGGAAAUAGAAUGACAGGAGGAGGAGGUUGCGAUCGCUCAACAGCCUGAGGACGUGAGGAUGAGAGCCAACAUGAACUGGUGGUGUGAAUGUGGGGGAAUAUGCCAAUCUAUGCCGACGGAAAUAGAGUGUCUGUGCUGUAGAGAGUGGGACAUGUUUUUGCCAUUGAUGACCAGGCUCAACACGUCAGAUCAAGAUGAGCGUGCCCGAAGUUGUGUCACAUCUACAGAGGAUUUCACGGCGCUGAUCCAUUCUGCAGUACUCGAUUUUUUUUUUCGGUGUGACAAAGGGAACUGGAAAAAACGCCCCACGCCGAAUGGACCAAAUGGACAGCUGUCCACAGAGCAAUUUAGGUUGGUGGCUUAUCGUGUUGUGCUGGAGUGCGCCUUGAAGGGAGAGACAUUGGGCAGAGGAAAUCGAACACCAUUGCCAUCAUGUGUGGUCGUUGCUAUUCGUAAAAAAUAUCCAUAAGAGUCUGGUAUAUAUAUUGGCUUUCAAGACGCACAGGAGGCAAUAAAUAUGCUGUAACUGAUUUCAUAAAUAAUAAAGUCUUUGCAAAUCCUGUCA